rnacentral:tRNA from 1 species
GGAAGUGUGGCCGAGUGGUUGAAGGCACCGGUCUUGAAAACCGGCAUGGGGAAACUCAUCGUGAGUUCGAAUCUCACCACUUCCG